rnacentral:rRNA from 1 species
ACGGCGAGUGAAGCGGCAACAGCUCAAAUUUGAAAUCUGGCUUCGGCCCGAGUUGUAAUUUGUAGAGGAUGCUUUGGGCGCGGCUCCAACUGAGUUCCCUGGAACGGGACGCCACAGAGGGUGAGAGCCCCGUAUAGUUGGAUGCCUAGCCUGUGUAAAGCUCCUUCGACGAGUCGAGUAGUUUGGGAAUGCUGCUCUAAAUGGGAGGUAAAUUUCUUCUAAAGCUAAAUAUUGGCCAGAGACCGAUAGCGCACAAGUAGAGUGAUCGAAAGAUGAAAAGCACUUUGAAAAGAGGGUUAAAUAGCACGUGAAAUUGUUGAAAGGGAAGCGCUUGUGACCAGACUUGGGCCUGGCGGAUCAUCCGGUGUUCUCACCGGUGCACUCCGCCAGGCACAGGCCAGCAUCGGUUCUCGUGGGGGGAUAAAGGUCCCGGGAACGUAGCUCCUCCGGGAGUGUUAUAGCCCGGGGCGUAAUGCCCUCGCGGGGACCGAGGUUCGCGCAUCUGCAA